rnacentral:rRNA from 1 species
GACAGAGGUGCCGAGCGUUAGGCGGAAUUACUGGGCGUAAAGCGUGCGUAGGCGGUUUGUUAAGUCCGUUGUGAAAGCCCUGGGCUCAACCUGGGAAUUGCAGUGGAUACUGGCGAGCUAGAGUGCGGUAGAGGAUGGUGGAAUUCCCGGUGUAGCGGUGAAAUGCGUAGAGAUCGGGAGGAACACCCGUGGCGAAGGCGGCCAUCUGGACCAGCACUGACGCUGAGGCACGAAAGCGUGGGGAGCAAACAGG